AGUGAACGCUGGCGGUAGGCCUAACACAUGCAAGUCGAACGGCAGCACAGUAAGAGCUUGCUCUUACGGGUGGCGAGUGGCGGACGGGUGAGGAAUACAUCGGAAUCUACUUUUUCGUGGGGGAUAACGUAGGGAAACUUACGCUAAUACCGCAUACGACCUACGGGUGAAAGCAGGGGAUCUUCGGACCUUGCGCGAUUGAAUGAGCCGAUGUCGGAUUAGCUAGUUGGCGGGGUAAAGGCCCACCAAGGCGACGAUCCGUAGCUGGUCUGAGAGGAUGAUCAGCCACACUGGAACUGAGACACGGUCCAGACUCCUACGGGAGGCAGCAGUGCGGAAUAUUCGACAAUGGGCGCAAGCCUGAUCCAGCCAUACCGCGUGGGUGAAGAAGGCCUUCGGGUUGUAAAGCCCUUUUGUUGGGAAAGAAAAGCAGCAGGUUAAUACCCCGCUGUUCUGACGGUACCCAAAGAAUAAGCACCGGCUAACUUCGUG
rnacentral:rRNA from 1 species